rnacentral:rRNA from 1 species
GGGGCACGGGGGGCCUACGGGAGGCAGCAGUGGGGAAUAUUGGACAAUGGGCGCAAGCCUGAUCCAGCCAUGCCGCGUGAGUGAUGAAGGCCCUAGGGUUGUAAAGCUCUUUCACCGGUGAAGAUAAUGACG